AAACACUCCCUGGAAACGUCCAUCUCCUGGUGCUUCUCUCAAGCCACCGACGCUCAGGCUCUCUACAUCCUUUAGCAGGCGCCAACUCCCUGGAGCUCGCCUUCCUGCUGGCCGCCCCCAGCACCGACGCCCCUUCUUUUUCCCCAUCUCCUUCCUUGGCGCGCUCGCCCAGGUCACGCGUGUCCCUGCUCGCCCAGGCCGCGACCUCGCCAAACCGCGCAGUCCCUGCUCUCCUUCCCCAGCCGCGCUCAGCCCAGCCCUUCCUCCUUCGCCCUUGUCGAGCUCCCUCAGCUCGCCCCCAACCACAACUGCACGCCAACCUCGCCCUAGGCCAUGGAGCAGCAACAACCAUGGAACCCUUUCGUGUCGCGCCCUCGAUGUGCUCGACGAAAGUUGGUUCGAUGAACGGGUUGGCUAAUCGCGAUGUGUGGAGGAGACAAAUUUCUAGGAUCUGAGGGUAAGAGAAGCCAAGACCUAGAGCGAUGAUCACUAGGUGUUCGGUGAAAAGGAUGAACCGGUGAUCGUGGUUGGUCUUGCAAAAUCCGAGUUCUAUUUUAUGUUGGUAAGGUGUUGUGCGGUGUGAUCUCCAAUUCCAUGUUGCUGAUGUCUUGCUCCAUCAUGACCUUAGGGAAGGAUGUUUUCCUCUAAAUUAUCGUAAUAAUUAUGCUGGGUUUAUGUGUUGUUUUAGCAUACAUUGUGAAAGCAUUUCUUGCUCAGCAGGACAAGGAGGGGCUUUCAUGAAAUAACUUUUGACCACUUAUGUUCCUUUUCCAAAUAUAAAUCAGUUAGAAGUGGGUCUUGGCAAUAAUUAGCUCAUGACUAUUUGUUGUUGGCCCUUUGGCUGCAAUUUCUGAAUAGUUUGAUGUGAAGGGACCUUGCUGAGCUUUGUGUACUUGAUAUUUGAAUAGUUUGGAGAAAGGAUUAAAAUCUACCCUCACUAAUUUUUUAGAUGCCCCUUAAAACUGAUUUUGAGGAGUUAUUUUCUAGGGAGCUCUUGGAGAUGCUCUUAUUCCUAUUGGUACGGAGUAAUAUGUAUAUUGUGCAAUUAAAAUGGCCUUUAUAUGGUAUUGAACAUUUCCCACAAUAAUCUGUAAUCUUUCCAUGAAUUGUUUUCCUAUAUGUGGUAUUAUUAAUUGGCAGUGCUCCUAGACACUGCACAUCCAUUUCCUGUGAAAUUACUAAAAGAUUGCCGGGAAGUGGCAAUGGGACUGUUACUGAUGAAAUUUUAUGAGAAUUAUUGAUUUCGAAGUAACUUCUUUCUGGACUUUUUUGCCAGCCAACAUUGUUUUCCAUAGAAAAUGGUUUUUGAAUAUUCAUGGCAAAAUUUUAUGGUUUACAAAAUUCCUUCAUUUCAUCUACAGAAAAUCGGGCAGGCUCUACUACCUUUACCUGGCGAUGCUAAAAGCCAACCAGCACUAGCAACAGCGACUCAAUUUGCUGCCACAAACAUCUGCACCAGCAGAGGCCGCUACCGCAGAAGCCACCACGGAAUCAGAUCCUGCAACGUCCACUCCUCUUUCACCUUAUACAAAUUACCCAGAUUGUGGUGCCCGACGAGGUGGGGCGUCGUUUGAGAGGGCCGAUGAGGCGUCGGAGAAGAAGCAGUCGAACCCGAUGCGGGAGAUGAAGGUCCAGAAGCUCGUGCUCAACAUCUUCGUUGGCGAGAGCGGUGAUCGCCUCACCCGCGCCGCCAAGGUACUGGAGCAGCUGAGCGGCCAGUCACCGGUAUUCUCCAAGGCAAGGUACACUGUGAGAUCGCAUGCUAUGUGACGGUGCGGGGUGAGAAGGCAAUGCAGCUGCUGGAGAGUGGCUUGAAGGUGAAGGAGAACGAGCUGCUGAGGAGGAACUUCAGUGACACUGGUUGCUUUGGAUUUGGUAUCCAAGAGCACAUUGAUCUUGGCAUCAACAAAUUUUGUUUGAUGUGCAGUGACACGACCUUGACAGUCAAGAUGCUCUUUCAGGUUAUUUUCUCCUGAAACCACUUCUUUUGCCAUCUCCUAAUGUUAUGGUCCCAGUUACAUCUCCAUUCAUUGCAGGAGAUGGUCCCAGUUACUUUACAUGGUUCUGUUGGACACAAUGAAGCCAUCCAGAGAUGCUAUUAAAAAUCCUGCUAGUCAUUAUGGCUUUAAACUGUACCAUGUCUGUUCUAUUUUCAGCUAGGCAGAGCAUGUUCUAUUUACAGCAGGCCAGCAGACACCAGGCAGUAAGGUGAUGUAUGAAUCAAUUAUCAGGUGACAAAAUGGUUAUGUUUAAUCAUGCAUGUUUUCUUCCUGACUCUCUAUGUUUCUUUGAGGCAUUCAACUACUUGUAGUAUCAGUGCAUCACUGAUGUAUAUAUGUGUUGAUGUUCAUCAUCCAAGAUCAAAUACAUCCUGCUAGGUCAUUACUUGCUAAUGUGCAUCUGAGUUUGCUGUUGCCAGGAUGGAAAUGUUUUUUGGCAGCUUUCUCAGUGAAUCAGUAUCACCGCAGAACCUUUUUGGACACCCAGAUGUCGAGAGAUGCCCAUUUCUGAGGAAUAUCAAUGGAGCUACAACCUUUUCCCUCUCUUCUGCUUUGCCAGUAGCUGCUCAAGGAGGCAAGGGUCCAAUUUUUGAGGAAGGGUCAGGCUUUGAGUCAGCAUUCAAGCUUUUCCAUGGCCGAGAUGGAAUAGUUCCCCUUUCAGAAAGAUCAUAUGUAUCUGAUGAAAACCACAAUGAGAGCAUUGACGUCAAGUUAUAUACUUAGUUAGGCUCAAUUUAGAGUACACUUAUGUAGAGUACACUUAUUUAUAUUGAACCGUCGGAGUUCCUACAUAUGUAUCAAGUUAUAUACUUAGUUAGGCUCAAUGUUAGCAUCAACAGUUGAUGAGCAACUUUAAAUUUAGAGUACACUUAUGAAUGAGUUAUUUGACAAUGCUUAUUUAUGAGAUAUUGAAUGUUAUUUAUCUA